rnacentral:misc_RNA from 1 species
CUGCCAGGCUGCCACCUCGCUGCCGCCGCAGCACGGGUGCGGGCGCUGGCACCACCGCCAAAACGCCAACGCGUGAACCCAACCCACUCCAAGGCAGUGCAUACUCGUGGUCACGCGCGUGCGCAAGCUCAGUCGCUGCCGCUCCACGGUCCACAGCAAAGCGCGCUGCCUCGCCGUCGUUGGAGCGCGGGCGCAGGGCGCCGCCGUCGCAACACGGUCGCGCAAGCGUGCGAGCGCGGGCUCGCCGCCGCCGUCUCGCCACCGAAGGAGAGUGCGGGCACCGUGCCGGCCGCCGCUGCCCCGCAGGCGAGCAUCCCGGCCGGACCGCCGAUGCCACCGCGAGCAGGCACAAGCGCGCGGGCAAGGACCGCCGCCGCUAUGACAGGCGAGCCGCAGCCGCCGUAA